rnacentral:rRNA from 1 species
CCCCUAGAUGUUCUGGGCCGCACGCGCGCUACACUGAACAGUUCAACAAGUCUUAACCUUGGCCGAUAGGUCUGGGUAAUCUUUGAACGCUGUUCGUGAUUGGGAUAGACCUUUGCAAUUAUGGGUCUUCAACGAGGAAUUCCUAGUAAACGCAAGUCAUCAGCUUGCAUUGAUUACGUCCCUGCCCUUUGUACACACCGCCCGUCGCACCUACCGAUUGAAUGGUCCGGUGAAUUCUUCGGACUGCGGCUUUGACUCGAUUUCGGUCGAGGCGUUGCUGCGGGAAGUUGAUUAAACCUUACCAUUUAGAGGAAGGUGAANUCGUANCA